rnacentral:rRNA from 1 species
UCCAGACUCCUACGGGAGGCAGCAGUGGGGAAUAUUGCACAAUGGGGGAAACCCUGAUGCAGCGACGCCGCGUGAGUGAAGAAGUAUUUCGGUAUGUAAAGCUCUAUCAGCAGGGAAGAAAAUGACGGUACCUGAGUAAGAAGCCCCGGCUAACUACGUGCCAGCAGCCGCGGUAAUACGUAGGGGGCAAGCGUUAUCCGGAUUUACUGGGUGUAAAGGGAGCGUAGACGGCAGUGCAAGUCUGGAGUGAAAGGCGGGGGCUCAACCCCCGGACUGCUCUGGAAACUGUACGGCUGGAGUGCAGGAGAGGUAAGUGGAAUUCCUAGUGUAGCGGUGAAAUGCGUGGAUAUUAGGAGGAACACCAGUGGCGAAGGCGGCCUGCUGGGCUUUUACUGACGCUGAGGCUCGAAAGUGUGGGGAGCAAACAGGAUUAGAUACCCCAGUAC